rnacentral:rRNA from 1 species
AAACGAUGUCGACUUGGAGGUUGUGCCCUUGAGGCGUGGCUUCCGGAGCUAACGCGUUAAGUCGACCGCCUGGGGAGUACGGCCGCAAGGUUAAAACUCAAAUGAAUUGACGGGGGCCCGCACAAGCGGUGGAGCAUGUGGUUUAAUUCGAUGCAACGCGAAGAACCUUACCUACUCUUGACAUCCAGAGAAUUUGCUAGAGAUAGCUUAGUGCCUUCGGGAACUCUGAGACAGGUGCUGCAUGGCUGUCGUCAGCUCGUGUUGUGAAAUGUUGGGUUAAGUCCCGCAACGAGCGCAACCCUUAUCCUUUGUUGCCAGCGAGUAAUGUCGGGAACUCAAAGGAGACUGCCGGUGAUAAACCGGAGGAAGGUGGGGAUGACGUCAAGUCAUCAUGGCCCUUACGAGUAGGGCUACACACGUGCUACAAUGGCAUAUACAAAGAGAAGCGAACUCGCGAGUGCAAGCGGACCUCAUAAAGUAUGUCGUAGUCCGGAUUGGAGUCUGCAACUCGACUCCAUGAAGUCGGAAUCGCUAGUAAUCGUAGAUCAGAAUGCUACGGUGAAUACGUUCCCGGGCCUUGUACACACCGCCCGUCACACCAUGGGAGUGGGUUGCAAAAGAAGUAGGUAGCUUAACCUUC